CUACGGAGUACAUACUUAACGUUUUUUAAUGACCUAUUAACUUAUAUAUCUGUUAUGUUGCUUUUUUAUGGUCGAAGCUUGUAUCUAGUUUUGAGAGUACAACUCUCAUUGUUCUUUGAAAACUGAAUAGUAGUAAUUUAAGAAUAUUACAACGACAUCAAAAAUAGAAUUAAUUAAAUGGUUAAUUUGUUUUGAUUCAUCGAGUAAUCAUAGAUAUAUGAUUCAUUGAAAUGUCUUAAAAUACACAUCAUAAUAAAUCAAUAGGAAAAUA
rnacentral:misc_RNA from 1 species